UUUAUUAGUGUUUGGUACACUUUAAAAAAUAGCUUGCGGGAAGCUUUGGAAAUGGCCUGCGGUAGGCUUUAGGAAUCAAGUAUUAGUGUGGGGUACACUUUAAAAUAAUCUGAGGUAGAUUUUGAGAGAUAAUCUGAGGUAGAUUUUGAGAAAUAGUCUGAGGUAGACUGUUAAGGAAUCAAGUACGAUAGUCUGCGGUAGACUUUAAAAUAGUUUGCGGGAAGCUACAAGAGCUUGCGGGCUUUGUCGGUAGUGUGUGGUACACUUUAAAAUAGUUUGCGGGACGCUUUGGAACAUAGUCUGCGGUAGGCUUUAGAUUUUGAAAA